rnacentral:rRNA from 1 species
GACGAACGCUGGCGGCGUGCCUAACACAUGCAAGUCGAGCGGGGAUUUAAGUGGAAGUUCUUCGGAAUGGAGAUUUAAAUUCUAGCGGCGGACGGGUGAGUAACGCGUGAACAAUCUGUCCCGGACAGGGGGAUAACACUUGGAAACAGGUGCUAAUACCGCAUAAGACCACGGCCUCGCAUGGGGCUGAGGUAAAAGGAGCAAUCCGGUUCGGGGUGAGUUCGCGUCCGAUUAGCUAGUUGGUGAGGUAACGGCCCACCAAGGCGACGAUCGGUAGCCGGCCUGAGAGGGUGAACGGCCACAUUGGAACUGAGAGACGGUCCAAACUCAUACGGGAGGCAGCAGUGGGGAAUAUUGGGCAAUGGGCGAAAGCCUGACCCAGCAACGCCGCGUGAGGGAAGAAGGUUUUCGGAUUGUAAACCUCUGUCCUAUGAGACGAAGGAAGUGACGGUACCAUAGGAGGAAGCCCCGGCUAACUACGUG